rnacentral:rRNA from 14 species
UUCCUGGGGAAGGUAAAUCCGCCCAGGGUUAGUCGGCACCUAAGGCGAGGCCGAAAGGCGUAGUCGAUGGACAUCAGGUUAAUAUUCCUGAACCGUGAUGAAGUGACGGAUUUUGAAGGUCUGGCGGUUGACUAGUCGUGACCGUUGGUAACUAAGGGCAUCUGAUCCCGAUGCAGGCUGGAUAAGUCCCGCGAAAUAGCUCAUCUAUAUACGACCGUACUAAAACUGACACAGGUACUCGUGGUGAAUAACCUCAGGCGCUCGAGAGAAUGGUAGUUAAGGAAUUAGGCAAAUUCACCCCGUACGUUCGCAAUAAGGGGGCCCUCCCUCUUCGGAGAAGGGCGCAGAGAAAAGGUGCUGGCAACUGUUUAUCAAAAACACAGGACUGUGCUAACUCGCAAGAGGAUGUAUACAGUCUGACGCCUGCUCGAUGCCGGAAUGUCACGGAAGUAGGUUAGCUUCGGCGAAGCUUACGACCCAAGCACCGGUCAAUGGCGGCCGUAACUAUGACGGUCCUAAGGUAGCGAAGUUCCUUGUCGGGUAAGUUCCGACGCGCAUGAAUAGUGUAACGACUUGGGCACUGUCUCCACAACCGACUCGGUGAAAUAGUAGUGGCGGUGAAGAUGCCGCCUACCCGCAGCAAGACGGAAAGACCCCGUGGACCUUUACUGUAGGCUUCUAUUGGUCACGAGCGAUCGCUGCGUAGGAUAGGUGGGAGGCUUUGAAGCCGGCGUUUUGGCGCUGGUGGAGCCAUUGGUGAAAUACCACCCUUCGUUUGUUUGUGGCCUAACCCCGAUUCCCAUGAACCUGGGCGGGGGACAGUGGGUGCUUGUCAGUUUGACUGGGGCGGUCUCCUCCUAAAGAGUAACGGAGGAGCGCAUAAGGUUGGCUCAGCGCGGAUGGAAACCGCGCAUCGAGUGUAAAGGCACAAGCCAGCUUUACUGCGAGGCCGACGGGCCGAGCAGUUGCGAAAGCAGGCCUUAGUGAUCCUGCGGUCCCGUGUGGAAGGGCCGUAGCUCAUCGGAUAAAAGGUACCCCGGGGAUAACAGGCUGAUCGCUCCCGAGCGUCCAUAGCGGCGGAGCGGUUUGGCACCUCGAUGUCGGCUCAUCGCAUCCUGGGGCUGGAGCAGGUCCCAAGGGUUUGGCUGUUCGCCAAUUAAAGUGGUACGUGAGCUGGGUUUAGAACGUCGUGAGACAGUUCGGUCCCUAUCUACCGUGGGUGUAGGAGAAUUGAGAGGAUCUGCCCCUAGUACGAGAGGACCGGGGUGGACAUAUCUCUGGUGGACCUGUUGUUACGCCAGUAGCAUAGCAGGGUAGCUAAAUAUGGACGGGAUAACCGCUGAAGGCAUCUAA